rnacentral:lncRNA from 10 species
CAGCCUGGGCAACAUAGUGAGACCCUGUCUGUUAAAAAAAAAAUCAAGAGUAAGGCUAAGGCAAAGAUACCUGCUCUCACCAGUCUUAUACAGAAUAGUACUAGAAGUUCUAGGCAAUGCAAUAAGGCAAGAAAAGGAAAUUAGAAGGCAUGGACAUUGGAAAGGAAGAAAUGAAACCGUCUCUAUUUAUACAUGACAUUAUUAUCUAUGUAGAAAACUCCAAGGAAUCUUUUUUUUUUUUUUUUUUGAAAUGGAGUUUCGCUCUUGUU